GACGAACGCUGGCGGCGUGCUUAACACAUGCAAGUCGAACGGAAAGGCCCUGCUUUUGUGGGGUGCUCGAGUGGCGAACGGGUGAGUAACACGUGAGUAACCUGCCCUUGACUUUGUGAUAACUUCAGGAAACUGGGGCUAAUACCGGAUAGGAGCUCCUGCUGCAUGGUUGGGGUUGGAAAGUUUCGGCGGUUGGGGAUGGACUCGCGGCUUAUCAGCUUGUUGGUGGGGUAGUGGCUUACCAAGGCUUUGACGGGUAGCCGGCCUGAGAGGGUGACCGGCCACAUUGGGACUGAGAUACGGCCCAGACUCCUACGGGAGGCAGCAGUGGGGAAUAUUGCACAAUGGGCGGAAGCCUGAUGCAGCAACGCCGCGUGCGGGAUGACGGCCUUCGGGUUGUAAACCGCUUUCGCCUGUGACGAAGCGUGAGUGACGGUAAUGGGUAAAGAAGCACCGGCUAACUACGUG
rnacentral:rRNA from 1 species